ACGAGGUCGUAUUAUUCGCUGAUGAUAC
rnacentral:sRNA from 1 species